CCAGUAGUGGAUUUACUUUCAGAUUCAGACACACAGCUCUUUACCAGCUGAUGGCCCAAUGAUGAAAACAUUGUUGUUGCUGCUUCUCUUGUGUCAUGUUUCAUCAUCAGUGAAACACUCCCUGAAGUUUUACUUCACUGCCUCCUCCGGAGUCCCAAACCUUCCAGAGUUUAUGUUUGUUGGACAGGUUGAUGACAUCCAGGUGGUUCACUGUGAUGGCAGCAACAAGAUAUUAGAACCAAGACAGGACUGGAUGAAAACAUUUGUUCAUGACAAUCCUCACGUCUGGGAAGGGGGCAAGCAGCAGUGUUCUGAGGUUCAACCUCCCCGCUUCAAAAUCUGGAUGAACGGUUUGAUCCAGCUCUCCAACCACAGUGAAGGUUCAGGUAUUCACAUUUUACAGAGGAUAGAAGGUUGUGAAUGGGAUGAAACAACUGGACAGUUUACUGGUUUUUCAUGGUAUGGUUAUGGUGGAGAAGACUUCAUUGAACUGGAUCUGAAGACGUUGACGUGGACCGCUCUGAGACCAGAGGCUAACAUUAUCAAACAGAAAUGGGAUGAAGAUACCCUUAGAAUAAAAGACGAUGUGGAAUUCCUCACUCAGAUUUACCCUGAGUGGCUGAAGUUGAUUUUGAAGUAUGGGAACAGCUCUCUGCUGAGAACAGACAUCCCCUCAGUGUCUCUCCUCCAGAAGACUCCCUCCUCUCCAGUCAGCUGCCACGCUACAGGUUUCUACCCUGACAGAGCCAUGAUGUUCUGGAGGAAAGAUGGAGAGGAGAUUCAUGAAGGAGUGGAACAUGGAGAGAUCCUCCCCAACCAUGAUGGAUCCUUCCAGAUGAAUGUUGACCUGGACAUUUCAUCAGUCUCACCUGAAGACUGGAGGAGGUACGACUGUGUGUUUCAUCUCUCUGGUGUGGAGGACGACAUCAUCACCAAACUGGAUGAAACACAGAUCAGAACCAACUGGGGUAAGAGGACAUGAAUGUGGUUAGUUGGAUAUUUAAGGCCUUGUCCUGCAGGUUAGUUGAUCAUUUAUCUAAACAGACUAUGAUGGUGUAAAGAAGAGUUUCGUUUCAUGCAAGUAAAUGAAUUGGAAGGUACCUCUGUUCUAACCUUCUUUAUAUGGACUAUUUUUAACCUUUCAUUUGUUCUUUAUUUAAUAGUGAAGUCCAGUAACAUGACCUCCUCCACCAUCAUCAUCAUCAUCUCUGCAGUGGUUGUUUUUGUUGUUGUCGUCUUUGCAGCAGCUGCUGGAUUCAUGAUUCAUAGAAAGAAACAAGACCAAAAGGCUCCACCUGAUAGUGAAGAAGCUCUGAGCUCUCUGAGAGACUGAAUAUGGCAUCCUAGAGGACAAUGCUUUAUUCUCAUAUUUUAAAGUUUGCAGUAACCUACAUGAAUUCCAGGUGAACUACCAGCAUGUUCCACCAUGUUCUUUUCUUUUGUGGGGCAGAUUCAUCAUAAUUGUGACGUUUACAGGUAGAGAGCAGAUCAAAGUCCAGUGGAACCAGUUAGUGAAAUCACAUUCACAUUAUGUUGUUUUCUAAUCCAGUUGGUCUGGUUCCACCACUGUGGGAUAAAUAUAUUAAUGUUGUUCAUGAGUUUCUCUGUUCACUGUGUUUCUACUACUAUGUGUCAAACUUAAAGUUUACAAUAAGUUCAGUCUAAUUCUGUUGCAUUUCUUCUUUGCAUUCCUAUGUUUGAUUCUGUUGUUAAAGCUAACAUGUUUUACGUUUAUUUGUGUUUUUCUUAAGUAUAGUUUUAUAGUGUCUCCUUUAUAAAUCCCUGUACAAAUAGUACAAAAAGUUUUGUAUUGCUCAGUGUCUAUAUACCUUCCGUUUACACCUGAUGUUGAUGAUGAUGAUGUUUAAAUGUGAGCUCACCUGAACUCUCACAGCAGUGACUUGUGCUCUUGCAGCUCAUUGUAUUGAUUGAACUUUAAUGUGUAUGAAGAUCCUAAUGAAUAUGUUUAAAUGCUGAACCAAUCAUCUGAGCUGGUUUCACUACUGUUGUUCUUUUAGUUAACUUUAAAGAUAAUCAUCAGUAUAUAUGUGGAAUUACAGUCUUGUUGAAGCUGGAUUUGGCAGCAGAUUUCAACAUUUGAAUAUUUUGUUGUUGAAGUUGAGAAGAUGUUUUUCAGUGUGUUCAGUUCUCAGUGUUACCAACACAUGGACACAAGUAGACUGGAGCUGUUUGAGUUUAACAGUCACCUCCCUGAGCCCAAAAGAUGAGUUUUAUUUAGUCCAGUGCCAAAACAAACAGUGACAGAGUGAAUGUAAUGAUAGAACACACCUUAAAAUGAUCCAUGAAGUAUGAGCUCAGUCACAGAACUUGAAACUUUUCUUGUAAUCUUUGUAGUUUUCUUCUUCCAGAUUCCAGGUUUCCUUGAAAUAAUUUAAUCGUGUUUUGUUUCCUGCAGCAAAUUCUUUCCUUCUUCAUCUUGUUGUGUUUAACAAAAAUACUACAAAUCUCUGAACUGUAAAGAUGAAGUUUAAUUUCACAUUUAAUAAAAAAAUGUCUCUUUCCUCACUGUGGAAUAAAUAAAGGAAGAUCUUAUCUUAGCUUAAAUCACCAGUCUAGACUUUAACUGUGUUCUUCUGCUUUACUGGUUCUCGAGUCUCUGUACAGAUCAAGUGGAGUGUUGUGGAAUCAGUUAAUUGAUGGGGUUUAAUUACAGAGCAGGAAAUCACACAAAGUUCCCUUCUCAGUCAGUUGGGCUGGUCAAUGUGGUUAAGUGUGUAAUGUAGUUUCAUGACUAUGUGGUGUCUUCUUAGGUCAAUAUGUGUAAACUCAGGGAUAAGAAACGUCUCUUUCCUCACUGUGGAAUAAAUAAAGGAAGAUCUUAUCUUAGCUUAAAUCACCAGUCUAGACUUUAACUGUGUUCUUCUGCUUUACUGGUUCUCGAGUCUCUGUACUAUGUCAUUCAACAACAGUGCCAGUCUGAUAACCCUCUGCAGAGACAACAGCUUCAAACAGACUGAUGUGGAAAAAUACUGAAUAACCCAUAAUAAAUACAAACAAUAUUA